rnacentral:rRNA from 1 species
ACCUGACUGCUAUCGGAUUGAUACUAAGCCAUGCUAGUCUUUGUAGUAAUACAAGGCAUACGGCUCAGUAACGCGUAGUCAACCUACCCUAUGGACGGGGAUAAUCUCGGGAAACUGAGCAUAAUACCCGGCAGACCACUUAUCCUGGAAUGGUUAGUGGUUAAAAUGAUUCCUCGCCAUAGGAUGGGACUGCGGCCUAUCAGCUUGUUGGUGAGGUAAUGGCCCACCAAGGCGAUUACAGGUACGGGCUCUGAGAGGAGAGGCCCGGAGAUGGGUACUGAGACAAGGACCCAGGCCCUAUGGGGCGCAGCAGGCGAGAAAACUUUGCAAUGUGCGAAAGCACGACAAGGUUAAUCCGAGUGAUUUCUGCUAAAGGAAUCUUUUGUUAGUUCUAAAAAUACUAGUGAAUAAGGGGUGGGCAAGUUCUGGUGUCAGCCGCCGCGGUAAAACCAGCACCUCAAGUGGUCAGGAGGAUUAUUGGGCCUAAAGCAUCCGUAGCCUGUUCUAUAAGUUUGCGGUUAAAUCUAUACGCUCAACGUAUAGGCUGCCGUAAAUACUGUAGAACUAGGGAGUGGGAGAGGUAGACGGUACUCGAUAGGAAGGGGUAAAAUCCUUUGAUCUAUUGAUGACCACCUGUGGCGAAGGCGGUCUACCAGAACACGUUCGACGGUGAGGGAUGAAAGCUGGGGGAGCAAACCGGAUUAGAUACCCGGGUAGUCCCAGCUGUAAACGAUGCAGACUCGAUGAUGCAAUGGCAUAGAGCUAUUGCAGUAUCGCAGGGAAGCCGUUAAGUUUGCCGCCUGGGAAGUACGUACGCAAGUAUGAAACUUAAAGGAAUUGGCGGGGGAGCACCACAAGGGGUGAAGCCUGCGGUUC